rnacentral:lncRNA from 1 species
AUCUUUCAUGAUCCAUUCUUCCGGAAUUGGAUAGAGAAUGGGAUAUUCCACUGGGAGGGAGAGGCGGGGGUGACAUCAGAAGUAGGAUCGUCGAACGGAUAGCAGCAUCACAUUGAGAAUUGACUCGUCGGAUUAACCACUUAGACGGAGAGUUCCCCAUAUUCCAUUUCAUUGGCAACCGAAAUAGAUCUAAACAGCGUGCCCGGAGCGAAGGAAGGGCUUCCAAAAUGAAUUGAAAAGUCAAAUCAAUGAAAGGCCCAGAUGUAGCCUUUGUGUGCGGAGCAAGCCUACACUGGCUGAGAUGAAGAAAAUGUCGACACCGAUGAAAUGUUUGAAAACAUAGACAGCGGAAGAAGUCACUCUCAAUCCGAUCUAGCAAGAAAUGCUAUACCGAUAAAGUAAAGCGAGAGAGCUCAUUAAGAAGGCCAUCUUCCAUCCGCCUUUUAGUUUUAGAUAGGGCGAGGCUAGUACGAGACUCCGAACCACGACGGAUCUUGUCUUAGGAAAUAGAAUGGGACGGGAGGCCUAUCUGACCUUUUGUUUGAUUCCAUUUUCCAACCCUUUCUUUAGAACCAACCUGGAAUGCAAACAAGGAAGGAAAGGGCUGAAAUCUCCAUAUCUGAUCCAGCAAAAAAAACCUGACCUUAGCAGUGAUAGAGAUAGCAUAGCUGUAGACAGGGGGAGGGCCCGGAUUACCUUUUCUAUUAGAAUAAGGAAGGGAAUCGCUUUGAUUGCUUGCGACAGCUUAUCGAUGCUCGUUAGCGGUGAAGUCCCUCAAACCAGAAGUUUCAAAAGCUUUUGACUGGGCAGAGAAAUGAACUUUACAUACUGAUAUCGCAUACCGAAGGGAAGGCCUAAUUGUACCACUCCCCCUGACCUUCCGCCUGAACUGAUAGAAGUUGGCUUGAGCUGAGCGUCUCUUACAAAAAAGGUGCCCUAGUCGCCUCGGUGGAAUGCAUUGAAGAAAGGAAUCCACUCUCAACCCUUUCAUUUUAUUUAAUAGAAUGGUAAGCCGGUCUUAUUCUUUUAUAUAUACGAGUAAACAACUUCUGCUCUAACUCCUUGAGGAAAAAGUCUUGCAUCUCGCCCAACUCCUACAAAGCCCACCCCCGAAGGAGAAAAAAGUUAUCAGCACCGAUGUUACUAACCUUAUGCUUCGCCAAUCUUUAUAUGCCACGGGGAAUCGAUCGGUUGAAUCCGUUGCAAGCCUAUCUUCCGAACCCCGCAUCAAAGUCUUGUCACCGUGCCCGCUUGGGGUCUGUCUGAGUAAGGAAAGAGCUCGUAGCCACGUGAUAGGUCUUGUCUUGUUGAUAACCUGGAGACCGGCGAAGACUGCGCUCCAGCUGGUGGUGAAGGAAAGGGGGAAGGGAACUAUAGAAUAGAAGGAGCUGGACAUGAACCGUCACGGUCUUUCUGGUGAAUCAGUGCUGUUUGCAUGGCACUCAUAGGCUCUGGGACUGAUGACCUUACUCUUCUAGUCUUUUCCAGUAAGCCUUGUUGGAUGACUCAGAGCUCUUGUGCUCCCUCUUUUCAAUAUCCCUUUGCUGUCUUCGUAACCGCAGUGAGAGUAGGAGCUCAAGCAGUUGCCGCUGCAAGACUAGCCGCUCUUGAGUAAAUAGCAGCUCUUACCGCGCUUGAUGGUGAAUAAGCCUUGGAAUCCGUGUUGAGAAAGCAUCCAAUUGCUAUUACAAAAGCAUAUCCCUUAUCUAAUUAGAAGGAACUUCUUUCCGGCGAAGUGACAGCGGGGAAGGAAAGCAAGGGACUGAUUACACUAGUCAGACAUGCCCAGAAGAGGAUAAGAUCAGAAAAGGGCACAAUGCCUCUUGAGAUUGUUGAAUAAGCUAUUCAUCAAUGCUCGAGUCAUAUUCUAGUAGACAAACUUUCUUCUUAUGUCCACCGGGGAAAAGAAUACAAAAAGAUUGAUAGGCCAUUCAUUCCCUUCUCUCUCUCCGAAUCUUGCUCCCUCAUUCCCCUCCAUUCGGCUAUCGAUAUUUGCGGAGUUGAAGGCUUAGGCUUAGGUCUAGGUCUUCGCACCGUCUUGGAACCUUUUUUCUGAGCUUUUGACAGUUGAGUCUCGGACGCUAACUAAGGAGACUACUGCAUCUCGCUCUUAUUAUAAAACAAUAAAAAAGAAGACAGGUUGCCCUGCCCUGUCAGUCUCGAGCUCGAGGUCGUCUUUCUUGUCUCACACAAGAGAAGCCUUCUUUAUACAGACAGGAGUUAGAUAAGCAUGUAGCUUAUGGCUUUAUCCUAUAGAUAUAUAUAGAAAAAAGAAACGAGGAUCAGUCUUCAUCCUUUCGCUUUUCAAAGUGAAUGAUCCCCUCGCUCUUAACCUUUAUGUGACCGCAAUAGCAAGGGACAGGAGCUCCCCCUAGCUCAGUAAGCAAGUGCUACAAACCUUUGAAACUAGAGUAAAGGUACCCAGGGACAUAAAAUGCUAGGUUGUGAGGAAGUGAAUCGGUUCUUACCUGACAGUUCCUAGAAUUGGACAAAAAGGUUUUGCACGUUAAUCAGAAAAGGAAGAAUACGAUCUUGUCGCAAUUGAAUCCGUAACUGCAGCUAUUGAGUCUGCUGUGGGAAUAAGCGCCUAGAAGAGAGCUUUCACUGGCUUUUUCUUACUAUGAGGAUGGAUGUAGAUAUAAGUCGUCUCUUGGCCAGGGCAUUAGCAGAGCAGCUUCCACUCCUCCCUUCGAUAAGCUUCCCUUUUUGGGCACUGGACCUAGUUACCGCUCCAUGGGAACAUCUAUAGAUUCCGCUAUCGGGAAAGUCAGGCAUGGAAUCACGCUAAGGUAAGGUUUCUAUCUAAUCCAUCUAGAAUAGGAUCUACUCUAUCUAUUUGAUUUUCCACUUCUGCCUGGCUGACUGAAUAAAGAAAUGGAACCAUAGCUAAGACUGAUCGAUGAGCCUUCUCUCUCCUUGAUCUGUCUAGUUCUAUUUUUUUGACUAAUCCGAAUCUGUGGACUGAGUGAGUAGCUAACUAAAAUAGAAUAUUUGAGGAUAUAGGAGUAGGGCUAUUCUUCGCACCGAGAAAAUCUUUUGUUAAUCUCGUUAUCUCCACGGGCGCUGGGUUAAGGGCAGAAUCAGACCUUGGGGAACCGGUACGAAAGGGAGCUAGCUAAGGCAGCAAGCCAAGAAAGGCAGCAUAGUAGGCCUUUUAGAAUUAGAAAGGAAGCCAACUCUUGUUCGACGUAGGGUAGAGUCACUUAUUUCAUUCCCUGGGCUUUCCAUCCUAUUAUGGGGCUUGAAUGCGGGUCUUUGGCUAGAGACGGAGACUUUCCCAGUGAAAGCGCUGGCGUUCAGUUUGGUUGCGUGCUUUCCGAUCUCUUUCCCUUCCUUUCUGUGGUAGCAUGGUUAACGGUAGCAUGUUUGCUAGUCUUGUCGGACUAGGAGCUCUACUAGGCUUGACCGUGGGAAAUUGACUUAUUCUUGCUCAAGUCAAGUGGAAUCAGUUUCAUUUGGCUCUAGACUACGAUUCGAUAGAGAACGAUUUGGCACAUCUUCGAUUUCCUGGUAUGAAAGUAGUUAGGCUUGGUUUUCUUUGAGUUCAAGAUAUUCGGCAUAAGCCGUCUUUGCUUUUGCUCUUAUCGAUGUGAUCCUUGUCUUUAGCUUGGCACCAGGGCGGCUUGCUUACCUACCUUAUGAAUGACUUUCGGACUUUCUUCUUUUCUGUUAGCACGCAUCCAGUGACCGAUGAAUCUGUUGUCGGAAUAAGCGUAAGCGCAGCAAGAGAAUUCGCAGCUUUUGUGCCUAAAAUCCCUACUUUAAACUGGGUUGGCUUUCAAAGAUAGAGACUAUCACUGGAUUGCUUGCUCAGUUCCUCAAUCCAAUUUCCCAUUUGACUUCCUGACAUUUUCAAGAGCUUGAAUAAAAGAAAGGCCUGCUUACCCGCUUCAACUUCAAAGAGGAUUUCUCACGGGAUUGGUGUAACUGUCUUUCUCCCACUCGAUGGAUUGCUCCUAUUGACCUAGCUGUCUUACUCGCUGUCUAGCCCGCUCUCCCUGACUUUUUUAUCCGUAGCUUGAAGGAGGGAGAGGCUAGAUGGCAGAAGAGAAGGCAAUGCCUCCUCGUUCUUCGUUUUCGAUUUGCUUGUCCAUUUUUUCAUUUUCACGUGAAGGAAGCAAAGCAACCUUAGUCUUAGUCUGCCCUAUCUUUUUUUUCGAAUAUCCCUUUUCGAAGCUUCGAGCCAAGGCAAUCCGGAGACCAGUACGGACAGCCCAAGCCCAGAGUUCAGCAGUCAAGUUUGUAGCAACUCCAAUUCUAGCUGCAUAACCUCGAAGCCAGACGCCCUAUCUUCCUCGAUCCCACUCAUGUUCGGAUUCACUAACCAUUCCCUUUCUCUUUUUGCAUGUAUGAUUUCUUGGUCGGUCGCUUCCUUUCGCUUUCAUGCGGAAGGCCCCCUACCGGCCAGAAAGAAUUGUUUUAGAUAGUAUAGAGCGUAGCGUUGGCUAUGGUGCCAUUUGCGAAGAAAUGAGUUCGCUUUCUUUACUACUACGCUCUUUCUCCCGUCUCGGACGUGAUUCGUAUUGGAUGCUCUUAUCGGAUUGAUUGGAUGCUUGAUUCCUUAGCAGAGCUACUGAUUUUAGAUGCGGAACCAGAGCAGAGCUAGAGAGUCUCAGCCUUGGUGAAUGAGCCAAGGUUCCUGACUUCUAUUCGCUAUAGCUUCCAUGCCAAGCUAGCAUAGCGCUUUCGCUUUUUGUUGAGAAAGUCAAGCUCAGUUCUUUCUCCUCCCUAACACCCUACUCUCUUCUCUUCCUCAAGUCCCACAGGGCAUUCUUCCACUGGCCAUUUGAAAGAUGAAUCUCUACCUUUUGAAGAAGGUGCCUAGCCUUAGCAGAUUCCUACUUAAAAGAGGGAAAGUGCUAAGACCGCGAAUGUCGCAUCCACGGGAUAAGCAUUCAUUUACCUUUCAAAGAUCGUUUAUCCCGCAGCAUCUUCAGUAUGCUACAAAGAAGCAUGAAAGGGUUAUGCGAAAUAGACAAAAUCGGCUUCAUCUAAUGCUUGCUGGCUAGCGCUAUAGGGCUUUGAACCAUAGGCCUUUCUUCUUUUGUUUUGAGAAGAGCUUGCGCACUAGCAUUCCUUCACCCGAUCGGAGACUACCCGGCUACGUCUUAAUCGGAGAAUUCCAGAUGUCUUGGAAUAGAUUGAUAUAGGCAUUUUUAUGUAUGCGGAGGCUUAGUCAAAAGACAGCUUUCAAAGACUACUUUCACUCGCUUAAAAGCGCCUCACUGUGCGAAGAAUAGCCCAUCAAGCUAGAUGAAAGAUCUGCCAGAGUCUUGAUGUUAAACAAACCCCUCCCCGUGAGAUGCCGAAGGCAAAGUACUUUAAGAAGGGAAGAGCUUGGCCUAGAAUGAGCAAGGGAUAGAGAUGAUGGUAUGAAUGCAUUCAUCAACAGAAGUUUCAUCCUCGGAUUCCCACCUACCCACCUCAGACUUAUUCAUCAUCGUUCUGGUACUGGCCGGCCUAAUGCUUUUCCCUCUCCUAUCAAGGAAUAGGCAUAAGUGACUUGCUCAAAGUAGAAUGUCAUAUUAUAAGAUAAUUUCAGAAUCCUCCCGUUGAUGCAUUGCUUAGCUAAUUUAGUCUCUGUUCUCAUCGCUGCUCUGGUUGAAUGGAAGGGAGGUAGGCCUUAUUUAGGAGUGUACCGAUGUUAACGAUGGUGGUGAUGGUGACCAACAAAGGCAUGCUUUCUUCCCCCAAUCGAUAGCCUAUGGCUUAAAUAAGAUUCUCAAAUCAAAUGAGAGAAGAGCCAUAGUAAGUGGUCAGCAUAGAAUGAGCCUUCUUUCUUCCUACCUUUAGCAUUACCAUUCUCUCAUCGAUUACUGCAAACUCUACCCUUCUCAGUCAACUUCUAGCUAGUGAAUCUUACCUACUAUUCUAUUUUAGUGAAGGGAAUGCUCUAGCCUCUCUGCAAACCAGCACUGUCCCGGGUCUCUCAAUCUUCCAAUCCAGCCUCCUUUCUAGAUAUAGACCUGAGUGGCCUUUUUCCUUCUUAUUCAAUUAAUUACUAGGCUUGGUCUAGCCAGCUUUCCCUUCAAAGGUAGCUAUGGAGGAAGGCUGACGAAGGAAGUAGAUAGUGAAUAGGAAGUUGGAUUACUAAGCACUUCCAUAGUAGCAGGCAUAGCUAUGAGGUACUGCCCGGUUCUCUUCUAUCCUACCUACACCCCCUAAUAGUAAAGUCCCUAGCUUCAAAUAAAGAGCCUUUUUCGCACGUUUAGGGACCCCUCGUACCCUUCCAUCUGAUCAAGGGGAGAGUGCUUUUUGGAUGAGCAAAACUGGCCAUUCUGGACGUUUUCAGAAUUGGGAGCGUAAAGCCAACGCCACUCUCACAUAGGAUCGGGGGAAGAAGGUCUGAGGCAAGGAGUGAUUUCUCGUUGAUCAAAGCAAAGUAAGUAGCCAACUUCUCCCUGUUGAUAGCACAGGAAAAAGACAAGGGCGGAUUCACGACUAUUGCUUGCUACUACUCCUAGCGUGGAAAUUAGCCCUCGUAAGGCCGACAAAUUGGAUUUCUUUGCAUUUUAAUAAAAAAUGUGCGAACAUUCCUUGGACUCUUGAACAGAUUCAUUUCCUUGCUAUGCUACGCACCUCUAUUAAUAUUAAUGGGUAUGACUACAAAAAAGGAAGAAGAUGAGCUAGAAGAUAAAUUCCCGCUGCUGGCAAUAAGCUAAUGGAUGACGAGAAUCGUCACUCUAAUUAUGAAUUCUAGGCUUUCUUGUCCAUAGUCCACCGCUUCGCUCCUUACUACAGGAAUAAGAUUACUACCAACAUCAGUGUAUCGGCGGAAAAGCAACUUACAUCCUUGCAUAUUUUAUUCAUAAUAAGUUAAGUAGCUAUCCUUGAUCCAGAAAGUGGUACUAUACUAAGAAACUAAGACUAAGUAUAAGUAGUAAAAGUAGUAACUCCGAGCCAAAAAGGGUACGACUAUUUCGAAGGUAGAAAGCGAGGGUCGAGUUCCUUAUUAGAGUAGAGUUUUUUCCAACCAUUGGAAGUUCUCCUUCAGACAUUAGGAGUUAUAGUUUUCUUAAUCGAGGUGGAGUAGCUUUCGAUGUCGUACCAGCCUCAAAAAAUGAUAUCCAUUCAGCCGAACUAAUUGCAGUAUGAGCGCACUCUCUGGGCCUAUCUAAUAGCAUAUUUGGAAGUGAUAGGUUAUGAUGACAUCUUUUCUGGUAUAUCAGUGGGCGCUCUAGAAAAAAGAGCUGUAGUUCUAGUGAAUGCUUAUUGAUUUUAAAUGCCCAUACUUUCUCCUGUUAGCGCUUUCGACUUCUCAUCUUUCAGAUGGGAUGUAGCCGUUCGAUCAAAGAAAGAAAAUGAAGCAGAUAAGUUAGAGAUAACUAGUUUUAGGUUCCGGUUCUCGAGCAGGUGAGGCUCAGCCCUUCAUCGAACUCGUUCUAGUUGCUUUUUUUUAGGUAAACUCUGAAUAUAUAUAUAUUCAGAGUUUGUGUUUAAGGCUAAAGAAAAGAUAUAUCAGCAGUUCCUUUUGUAAGCUAAGCCACCUUACUACCUCAGUCAUUUUGAUUUACCGUUCCUGCGUAGCUUCUGGCAUUUAUAUUCCGUCUGCUUGUGGGAUAAGGCCUCUCUCUUGGGUUUAACUAGCGGUUGGGUUAAGUCAAUGGACUCAACCUGUUAUAUUCACUAAAUCAACAAGAUCCUGACUGGCUAAUUUGGGUUCAGGAGCAGCUAGAAUGCCUGAAGCGGGAGGAGCGAACGAAGUGAGAACUAGAUCGAGAGUCCAGUUUUCAGUGACUUCAAGUGAAUGCGCUUUGGGCCUUUAGGAAGCGAUUGAACGAAGCAGUCGAAAUGCUUUGGAUGCACAUGAAUGAGGGAGCAAAGCCAUAGGAAAUAAGGCAACUCUCUUGACAGAGGGGCAUAGCGGGUACUCUAACCAUAAGGAGAAGGAAGGUAGAGCUCGCUUUAAAUAAGUUAGAAAUAGGCUUUCACUCCUCUCCAACCAGUCGAGAUCAAUCGAUCUUCCUCUCCUCUUUCAACCGGAAAAGGCUCUGAAAGAUGACUUCAAUGGGGACUAGAAGGAAAGAAGGGGAAAGAGUAGUUCAUCUCGACUCAUCCAACGGGCAAGCAAGUUCCACGGCUAGAGAGGUGAGAAGGUAGCUCAUUUUACCAGUUCCGUGGGGGAAAGACGAGCAAAGCGUUCGAGGAGCCCUACUUUUAAGAAGAAGGCGUUCACCAAGGGAACUAGCCGGUAGGAGGGAUAGUUGGCCGGCUUUCAAGCCAGGUUGCAUGCAUGUGACUGAGUCCGGAGAUUUCGUUUUGUUUUCAGGGUGUACGAAGUGAAGGCUCGUUGAGACCUUGCCUUAGGAAGACUUUAUAGGCACAGUACCAGGGACCGAACUCUCAUUUCCUUGCUUAAGGCCCUUCGCCUAUGGAGGAUUUCGUGCAUAACUUACGUAUUUAGCUGAACAGGGUAAAAAUCUUCCUUAAGCUUCCCUUCCAUUCUAGGGAAAACCACUGCUGGGAAAGCGUAAUCUAAUCACUGCCUGAAAGAGUCCUAUUUACCUAAUAAAGAGGGACUGCUUGCUUGUGCCUUAAAAUGGUAAAGGACAGAACGCACGGCGCCUUUCGAACCUUUUCUCAUUAGAUCGGGUAACCUGCACUAAUAGGUCAAGCCACAUUUCAUAUAGAAAUUCAGGUUCCUAGGAAUGUCGUACGAGUCAUUCAUCUAGUCCCAAGGGGGCUUCCCGACUCAAGCUACUGGGAAAUAGGACCACAAUUCCUACUCACUGAGUGUAAACGACUCUCUUCGGCUUUCCGUCCCUUUCAAUAGGAAGGGUCACAGCCUAAGUCAGGCCGGGCCUUGAUCAAUGAUCAAUAUCAAAACAACCAUAAGUGAUUGGCUCACGACUACGUAGAAUGAGAUUCUCGCUUCCUUACUUUCUCAUAUCUUUGCUUAGUCCGGCAUUCCCAAUCUCUUUCUUUUUCGACGUAAGAACCGCAAGAUGGAUGAGCAAAUGGCUUACUCGAAAGCACAAGUCUCACUGCCGGGGCGAGCUGCGCGAAAGAACUCUUUUGAGCCGUAGUUUGACUUCUAAGAAUAAGCGGUCGAAGGCACAGUUUUCAUCUCCUUGAAUCGAAUGCGAUAAUCUUCGAUUAUCACUGAUGGCAAAGGACGAUGCCCACACUUCAGGUCGAUCAGAAAGAAAAAAAAAUCCGCUCUGGUGCCAUUUUCCUUAAUUAUAGUAAUUGAAGGACAUUCCGCCAAAUCUAGCAACCCACGGAGCGGUAGACAACCGAGGAAAAAAAAAAGUUUUUUAAUUUAAUUUACCUUGAUGUGGAAAUGCUUGUUUCAAAAGAAAGAAGAUCAGAACGAAAUUACGUAGGUAGAGAGAUCUUUUCUUUUUCAUCCCGAACUAGACAGACAGAGCUUCAUACGGUGCUUUUCAUAAGUUCGAGUCUUCCUUCUGAUCCCAAGGAAUGCGCGUCUGGUGGUAUCGUAUAUAAGAGAAAGCUUGCUUUUUUGAGCCUCCAAUCAUAACAUAAAGAAAGGUUUCUACGGAGCAAAGUCUAAUGAGAAAGCGUCUGUUCACUGGCCCUUUGAAUGGAAUCUGGAGAUGUAGUCAAAAGUGACUUUCAUCGAGAUUGGGUUAGUGUUCAGUGUAACCAUAGAACGGUACAAGAUCGAAAAGAAUGAUUGCAUUUCAAGUGAGAUGUCCAAGAGAAAAGGAACGAGGUUUUGAAGCGACGAGAACAAAAAAUCGUGAAUGAAAAAGCGUGACGAGGUUUUCUCCAUUCGAGAUGUUAAAUGAACUUCUCAGUGCGGUCGAACCCUUUUUACAAGGAUUGCAAUAAAUUUCUACGAGCGCGGGGCAAAGGACGCUACCGCAGGUUCCCGGGAAUCCACCCGUGGAAGGAACUUCUUCCUCUUCGGUGGUCGAAGGGGAGGUCUCCCAAAAUCAAAUUUGGGCGGCUGUGGAACGAAAGCAAUGGCAAGACCUUCUGUCGUCCAAGGAGUGGCGUUUAACAGAACGGCGUUUCCAUCUCUGCGAAAGCAGAAUCUCCGUGAUUGUGGGCAAAGACUAUUAAACUUCUAGCUAAAUCACGCUCAUGAAAAUCAACCACUGCUACCUGUGCUGCUUUGAAGGUCCUAUCUUCGUAUGGAUAUGAUAGAUCUCCUACCUCGGCUGGAACUUGCCUCUGCAACUUUAAGGUAUAAAGCUCCCAUUCCCCCAUUUCUUAGUCACUCGGAGAAAGGUAGCGAAGUGAGUUCAGUUUUUUUAAUUUUGAGUAUAGGAUACCACCAGCGUCGUAUUCGAUGAUGGACAUCUUAGGUCAAUCGGCUUAAUCCCGAACAGCUGACGAGAGCUAGGAUAGGAAAACUCUUUGCCUGUCUGGUCUACCUGAUUGGGAGCUAGCUAGUCUAUUCAAUCAGCUAGCCCUAACAUUCAAUUGGUACUGGCUCAGUUUCACAGUGAUCUUCUUUCUCACAGCAACAACCUUUCCUUUCUGUCUGGCUUGUCAUGUUCUUUUACUUGAUUGAAUUAUGACUCAUUUCCUUGCUUCUUAGUUUGUCUAGGCAAUCCUGUAACACGUGCAAUCCUGUCUUUCACUAAUGCCACUAGGCCCAAUCUCCGGAACUUGGCAGCAGGUAACAAGUCGGCAAUCUGUCUUACUAAUUUCUUUGUGUGUUCUUACAGUGAUCCAAUCAAUCGGGAGUGGAUGCCAGUGAGGGACUAGAAUGAAAGGGCAAGGCUUGGACUACUGCAAUAAGAUAAGGUAGGUAAUGGACAGCCCGGAAAGCACAGCCGGAUUGGCCAGUUCAGUUCCCCGUUCUCCUAUGUCUUUCUAGGUUCCUUUGCUGUAUUGAAUGUAUAUAUAUUUAUGGGAGCUUGUUCGUCUGUCUUUCUAUGAUAGGGAGGGUCUGGCUUUAUUCCGGAUGGAGCACCAUUUAUAUGGAGUUUAUGUGCUUUCAGUUGUAGGCCCAGCCCCUUAGCCUUUUAUUUUAAAUAAAUCCUCCCGAAUCAAGUCCAGAUUUCUCUUUUUUCCUUCCCCGAUUGAUUGAAGUAGCUCCUGUUGUUGGGUCACUUCACGAUUUGACUUCCUUCUUUCGUAGGUAAUGAGUUUCCGGUGGUAUCAUAAUUUGCCGUAUAGGCAUUUACUGAAGUUGGUAAUUGGUAAGGAGAUCGAAGUAUUCCUUGUGCUUUUCCCAUUCACGUAUCCCGUGGUAGCCCUUUAAGGUAAGGUAUUUUGUUAAGGCGAAUUGGCGAAGGAUGGAUAGCGAGGGAGAGGUUACCCCACCUUCCGUAGGCAUUCAUUUUCGGGGAGUAGCCUGCUACAGUAUACAAUUCUAGUCCUCUUAGGGCGCUGUGGAGGAUCCCGAGGCGGCUCAAAAAUAUGACGUGAACCCUAAAAUCACUACCAAAGACAACAAUUCCGACAUUCUCAAUCCUCCUCAAAUGGAUAUCUGUCAAGGUCGGAAUCUCGGAUUCCUUUUUCCAGAUAUCGGCAUCAAUUCUGCCUGUCGUUUAACAUCGUUGCUUUCCCUUUCCUUUUCUUAGGGAACUGCUGAUACCUCUGUCAGUCGUACCGGAAUCCACUAUACUAUAACUAUAGGAACUGAAAGAGAUGAUUUGGCGGGAAUUCCUUAAUGAACUGCUUCGUUCGACUCGCUUGUGAAUGCGAUGGCGACGGGGUCGGUCUGUCUUUCCGCUUUUAAGCUAAUGGUUGUCCUCCGUUCAGACAGCACGGAGAAGAGGAAGAAGUCGUCACAAGGUAUCCGUACGUACGAGUUCUGUAGGAGUGCAAGCAUUCGACUUAAGUUCCCAAUAUAAAUCCGUAGGGUACUCUCGGGCGAAAGGCCCAAACGGCACCUUGUUAGCAGUCCUAUCCUCAGUGAACGUUGUUAGCUGUAGUUACAGCUAUUAAUGGCUCCAUCAAUCAUAGAAAAAGUCUAUGUUGAAGAACCACCAAGAUGAGAACAUCUUUAGAAAGCCCGUUUUGUGUUCAGUGAAAGAAAGCGAUACUGUAGGCUGGAAUCUCCUCAACGAGCUGGAGUAGCGAACGGGAACAACGGCCUUAUUGAUUCAACCUCUUUACGGGACUCCUCUACUAGUUACACUUAGCACUUAGAUAGUGAGGAAAGCGACGAAGCCUUCGGUAAUACCUCUCUCUGUGCUGUCUUCCCGAAAGGAAUAUGCUUUCUAGGUAAGUGCGUAUCAAUAGAGUGUGUAAGCCGAAGUAGCUGGUUCAGGCUAACCUGCUUGUUAUAGGGUAACCAACAAGUAUGCAAGACUCUUUCCGGACCUAGGAUUGUCUUUCGGUUUGAAAUCUAUUAGAAAAUGUAGUUGUUGCUCGCCUGAUAGUAAGUCGCUCGCUUCAUUGAAGGAAGCGGGUCGAUGUCUCGUAUGAAGGGAAUUUGAGUUGCAACCAUGAUAAAAUCCCCUAAAAAACUGGGCGUUGAGGCCCUACCUUUCAGGUAGACCUGCCGUUCACACUUCACCUUGAAAGCGGAUCAUGCGCACUGAACUAAGAAAUAGUAUAGUUUGUUCUAGGAAUGGAUCUUCUCUGCCGCAGGCAUCUAAGAGGUUCAAGCGAGUAGGAGCCUUCUUCUUCUUUGAAUAAAACGCUAAUUUCUUUGUGGACUGUACCGAUAACAUAACUCCAUUGCUCCUGAACUUGCAAAAGACUUUUUUUUGCUACUCCUGCAAACACAAAUACGGGCUAUAUUGGCAGAAUCCUUUCCUAAAUCCCAAUUUUUUAUGUACCCCGACAUAGUCCUUCACAAAGGGGUUUAUUUUAUUCGCUUCGAGCGUGGCGUUCCUGUAAGAAUUUAGUGGUUCUUUAAGUUUAUCCUUUAUCUUUCCCACUACCUACUUCCCUUGAGACUUCGCUUCCUUACCUUUCUUGUCUUUGAACAGAAAGCGAUCAGCGACAGAAAGGGUAAGCGUUCAGGGGAGACCCAGUAAAAGUACUCGGCCAGAUCGACUAGCUUGACAGGUUUUAGGUGGAAAGAACCGUCACUUAACUUAAAGCUCAUCACGACCCUAAUACUAGUGUUGCUGAAGAACAGACAACUAGCUAGGAAAAGGUGCCCCCCAAAAUAAAUACUUAGAACGCUUUUAAGUCUAUAUAUAAAUAAGUAGACUGGACCAAUCAUAAAAAUGAUUACCCCGGGGGGCGACUAAACGCCAAACAAAAAUUACAUAAAUGAUGAAAUCGAAUCCUGUCAAAUAACUGUAAAUGGAUUCGGGGACGUGACCGGUAUAGAUCCAUGAUUGACUGUUACAUCCCUUGGGAUCUACCUUCGAUCGAGUGAAAGCUUAAGUGGUCAAGCCAGGGUGGGAACAUUCGACUUCAGAGGUCACGCUUUCAAUUUCCAUUAGGAUUUUUAAUGUCAUCUGAUUUACCUGCCUUCUUGUAGCCGAUGUCUUUAUGCGCAAGCUCUUCAUUUCUCUAUCCUCUCCCGAGCUCAAUUGCAUCGACCCUUCUCUAUCCCACUUCGAAUCGUACGGGAAAGAAGAGGUUGAUGAGAACGUGAAAUAUCUAUUAACCAACUCAAGUUGGUUUUACUUCUUGUAUUUCCUUGCCGUAAGAGCGUGAACAUAACUCUGCCGGUUAGAUGACCAUACCAGGGAGUUUUUUCUCAACGGCGCUCCCAGCUAGCGACACCUAAGCAAGUUAGAGGUUCUAGACUACAAGCUGUAGUUCCCAACAGGAGUGGGACCUUAAUAGAUGAGAGGUUCCUAGAAACUUAUUUUGAAGAAACCACAUCGGUUAUAUAAAGUAUUUGCUGCACUUCCUGAGAAAGAAGUCGUCUUGGUAUUGGAUCCGCUCUUCUGUUAGCAUGAACAUGAAUUAGAUUCUAUUCAUCUUAUUUAUUCUUAAGAGAACUCCCCACCCGAACCAUUCUCAACCCCGACCUACACAAGUGGUUUUAGAACUCAUAUUUAGAAAAAGUUCUGUUAGGUUCUUAGUAGCAGUCGGCGACCUUUUUCUAUUUCCUCCUCACUCCUGGGCCUUUAUCUACAUACGUCUCUUGAAUUUGAUUGAACAAAUUACUGCCCCUGUAGAAUUAAUUAGGCGGCUUAGGGGAGAGCCUAACAUCCUGCAGAGACAAAUCAAAAGAGAUCGCAUCCCAAUGCCAAUUGUGUGUUAAUACAGAAAUGAAAAGAACAAAAUGCCCUAACAUAUAUAUGCACAUCACUCCAGAGGAUUUGCGAAUUAGGCUUUCGAAAGCGCCCGAGUCUGCUGCCGUAUCCUGCUUUUUUAUUAUUAGACAAAGAAAGAGAGUGACGAUGUCAUAUAUUAGGAAGAUUCCUAAUAAUACCCAAUGAGCGGAAUCAGAAGGGGCCGGGUUAACCAUAAGAGGCGUAAUACUGACCCCGUCCCAGCCAAUUCGAAGUUCCAAGAUAAAUUUGCUAUUCUGAUAGAUAGUGGCAAACAUUAGAUUGUUGUAUCCCAAGAUAUAGAAGACUAUUAGCCCGAAAAUUAGAUUAUGAAUAGAUGGAAUAGCAGCAAAAAGCAUCUUUCUAGCUUGCGUGGAACUCAAUCUCAUUUAGUUAGAAAGGUUCUAUCUAUCUUUCAGCAACUGAACGGGAAGUGGUUUAGGAAAGGACUUUCGAAUCAAUCGGAUGCGCUCGCCCAGCGAGAAAGGCCCUGACCCUGCCAACCAAGUCAAAAUCAAAAAGAAGAGAACUUCGUAUUUUGGUAAUUCUCUAGGAGUCAUGUUUAACCUUGAAUGCUAUUAAUAAAUUCUACAGCAAUAGUCCCUCGGACUCGGAAAGUGAUAACGAAAAUGGCUAACCCAAUAGCGGAUUCCGCAGCUGCCACCGUUGAAACCAAUGAAGCAAAUGAUUGACCCAUCAUAUCAUCCGAAGAAACGGAAAAUACCAAAAAGUUCGAAUUCACAGCUAAUAACAUUGAUUCAAUUGGCAUUGACAUAAUAGGAAUAUUUCGUCUAUUAAGGAGGAUUCCCCGAAUACCUAAAAUAGAGAUGAUCAUAGAAAAUGUAAAAUAUUUGAUAGGAUCCGUUUCGGAAACGUGGAAUGUAAGAGAAAUUCAAAUGUUAUAACCAAUACGCCUAGUAGGUAAACGUGCGCCGUCGCCUUUAUCGUUCUUGCCUUUUCUCCAUUUCAACAAACCCAUUUGGGAUUCCCUUAUCCUUAAAUAGUUGCGGUUGCGGCACGACCUCGUACGAAAGCGGCGUGCAUCGCAAUGUAUAGGGGAUGUCCCUUUUUUGUAAAAAGUCUAUUGUUCCCUUCAGAUUUCUUUGCUUUAACCAUACCAAUAAAAAUAAGAUUAUGAGCCACAAAAACAAAUGAUUGAUAAGGGGAAGUACAGAAGUAGGUUUUGGAUUUCGAUCGGAUUAUUUGGCACUUUCAUUUGCUUUGGUUCAUUUUUUAACUGCUUCCCCCAACAAGAGGUUACUAGUAUCUCGUUUCUUUACUUACUUUAAGCAAUGAAGAAAGACUUGUUUGUUGUAAAUCGCUGGUUGGGUUUACCAAUCAAGAAAGACAUGGGAAAAGGAAAGCACUCACUGAGUUACUUACGAAUCUGAAAGAUGGAGGCUGACUACGGCCUCAGAUGAUUAGGCGGGGACAGGAUUCGAACCUGCAAUCUUCAGGUCAUGAGCCUGAUGAGUUGACCAAUUACUCUACCCCGCUUCUUCCCUCUUGAAACUGAAAACAUAUAGAUUAGCAAAUGAGACUGCCCACACUGAAGACCAAGCCAAUCUCGAAGAAGAAGCCUACCCCGGACCCUGACGUGAACAGACGCUUUCUCGGAGAAAGCUUUUUUUCUUUGUUUGUUGACUUCACUUAGCAAGCCUCGAAUCCAAAUCCUUUCUACUUUCUUUCUUCUCUUAUGAAAUUUCGACUCAGCUUGAAAAGAAGCCUCAAGCCGAUAAGAGCUCUUCAUCAUGUUCGAGAAUUUCUAAAGAAGAACUGACAGUGAUUGACCUCACGGCGCACAUGCUAUAUGUUCAUGCCAAAAAGGCGAGAUUUUCUAUUCUGAAUUAAAGGAGCGAAGCGCUUAGUGGUUGAAGUAGAGGAGAGCUAGAAUGAGUCCAUUUUCCUGGGUAAAGCAGGAAGGAAGAAUCGAAAAGGCACUUUCUUUCCUAUUUAGGAAUGAGCGGCCUACAGAGUGGAAAUGAUCCCGCGAAGCCGGUCAGGCCAACUCUAGCUUUAGGAAGAAAAAGUCAUACAGUCCCUACGAAAGCAUCCAUUUCAUGAGUUGAACUGGCUCCGCUCCUUGCUGGACUGGAGGAAAAAUGAACGAGAUUAUUAAUGUUAUUCGAAGCUAGAUUAGAAGUCCGAGCUUUCCUUUCAAUUCGUGUAGCGAGGUCCUCUUCUUUUGUCUCCUAGCAUUCUACUGGAUAGCUCCUACCCUUCCUUUAUUUUCCUUGCGCUAUGAAUUGGCUUUCUUGUUGUUAAUGGGCAGACAAACUUUUGACCCUGACGUGGGUGGGCUUUUUGGAAAAAGUAUUACCUUAAUCUACUUUCUCGGGUAUCUAGCGGAAGACAAGGUCUUGACGUUCUAUAGAUGAACUAGCAUAACAGACAUGCUUGAAUUUAGAAAGGCAAGACAACUCUGAAUCACUCGUUUAAUACAAAGCAACUUUCCCCCUACCCUCUCUGUUGGGGUGUCCCCAACCCUUUCGGUUGUUUCGGCGGCAUUGAUCCCGUAUUAUUUCCACCCCCUCGUCCAUUUCUACCCUUUUUAUUCUCAUUCUUAUUUCCUUGACCUUUCUCAAUAUCUUUUGUUGGUUUUCUAGAUAUACAUAUACAUCCUUGGAAUCCUUCCCAACACAGAUAUAUUUCAUAUAUAUAUGAACAGUCUUUGUGAUCCGCUUUCUUUACUUACUUUAAGCAAUGAAGAAAGACUUGUUUGUUGUAAAUCGCUGGUUGGGUUUACCAAUCAAGAAAGACAUGGGACUCUUUUUUGUCGUUGCUUGGCUGUAAACCAAGUGCUUUUCGAUCUUAGGCGAUCUCAGGUUACCGGCUCUCCGGCCUCAUUUCGAGGCACGAUUGGAGAGCUCUUUGGGCCUGUCAGUUUCUCAAUCGCCAGAUAGAAACAGUCUGAGAUGUGAUGUUCUGAUUACUGUUGUUUAUGUAAUUUUCAAUGCUUGUUCUCAUUCCUACUUGCUUCUUUCUUGGUCACUGAACUGAUCUUUCAGAGAGGGAAGAUGAUGUUCUUAGCUCGAGAGAUAGCCCUAUUUUUUUGCCAACUUUCAGCCCUCUCCCUAUGGUCGAGAUACUAGUAACCUCCGCGGAGGUCACAUUCACGAGAAUCAGAUAAUCCGUCUUCCCCGUGCUAGGAGUUUUAAGCUUUCUUUGCCC